GAUGAACGCUGGCGGCGUGCCUAAUACAUGCAAGUCGAGCGAACGGACGAGAAGCUUGCUUUUCUGAUGUUAGCGGCGGACGGGUGAGUAACACGUGGAUAACCUACCUAUAAGACUGGGAUAACUUCGGGAAACCGGAGCUAAUACCGGAUAAUAUUUUGAACCGCAUGGUUCAAAAGUGAAAGACGGUCUUGCUGUCACUUAUAGAUGGACCCGCGCUGCAUUAGCUAGUUGGUAAGGUAACGGCUUACCAAGGCAACGAUGCAUAGCCGACCUGAGAGGGGGAUCGGCCACACUGGAACUGAGACACGGUCCAGACUCCUACGGGAGGCAGCAGUAGGGAAUCUUCCGCAAUGGGCGAAAGCCUGACGGAGCAACGCCGCGUGAGUGAUGAAGGUCUUCGGAUCGUAAAACUCUGUUAUUAGGGAAGAACAUAUGUGUAAGUAACUGUGCACAUCUUGACGGUACCUAAUCAGAAAGCCACGGCUAACUACGUG
rnacentral:rRNA from 1 species